UCAGAUUCAUCAGAGAACCCCAAUCCUCUAUGCAAGCUAUGACCAAGCACAAAACUUGAAUUGUAAUCACAAGCGAAAUCAAUAUUAUAGGCCUUCAAAGGUGGCGUUUCAUCUAAGUAAGCAACUAUCUGGGUCUCCUUGAAAUCAACCAAAGCAAUGGGUUGUGAUGCAUCUAAAUCAUUAUCUCUGUCAUUAUCCNNNNNNNNNNNNUGCAAACCCUCAUGAAGCUCAACAGAAGGGUAGUUAUAGCCAAACGCAUUCCCAUGAGACUUGCGAGGUCCAUUUCUAGAAGCAGAUGGUGCCAUUAGUCUUGAACCAGAAAUAGAAUUAGAAUUGGGGUUCCUUCCUGGGAAGGAAGAGCUGACAUGCCAAUCAGGCAAUACCCCACCCUCCACAAAUAGAGAGUUUCUGAUUCGAGCAGAAGAUGAUGACGAAGACACUGCGUUCGAUCUCCUUAUGCCCUUGUUUUUGCUGCUAUUGCUGUUGUCGUUUCUGAUGUUUCUGUUGCCGUUCGGUCUUCUCCUACCUCCUCCAGCCAUGGCUACGAUCGACCAGAACUUGUCGUGCGAUGCUAC
rnacentral:misc_RNA from 1 species